ensembl:lncRNA
GCCUGAGGUUCCUGACAGAGAGAUCCAAGAACUACAGGCCACACUUCAGGCCAAAUCCAUAUUAUGAAGGCCUGGAGAGAAUGGAGGAGGCGGUCAUGUCAAUUCUGCACAACUUAGAGAUGGAGAACACUGAGAUCCAUGAGAACAGCCAUAAGCUGAAGAAGGAGAUGACCUUCUCUAGAAACCUGCUCAGCCAGCUCCUGAUGGAGAACACAUGGAGGAAGAAGUUGGUCCCACUGAAACAGGGGAGCAAGGAGGGACAUCUUGAGUGUGCACUGAACCAGAAAUAUUUGGUUGACUUCAACAAGAAAGAUAAAGACCAGCAACGUCCAGACCCAGCAUCAUCAGGUCUCAGAAAGUGCAAGAGAGCUGGAAUUGGACACACCCCAGUAAGAGAGCUUCAUGAAGAAUGAGUUGCUUUCUCAGGAGUCCCUGAUGACAAACAUCCUGAAUGAAAACACAACUUGAGAGACAGCUUGGGGGACCACCUUUCAUUAUGUGUGCUAGAGGAGAAACAGCAAUACGUCUGUGCUUCUACAUGUUCGUUAAGAAUAUGC